rnacentral:rRNA from 1 species
GACGAACGCUGGCGGCGUGCUUAACACAUGCAAGUCGAGGGCACUUUGGGGGCAACCCUGGUGGCGAGUGGCGAACGGGUGAGUAAUACAUCGGAACGUGCCCAGUCGUGGGGGAUAACUACGCGAAAGCGUAGCUAAUACCGCAUACGAUCUACGGAUGAAAGCGGGGGACUCGCAAGAGCCUCGCGCGAUUGGAGCGGCCGAUGGCAGAUUAGGUAGUUGGUGGGGUAAAGGCUCACCAAGCCUGCGAUCUGUAGCUGGUCUGAGAGGACGACCAGCCACACUGGGACUGAGACACGGCCCAGACUCCUACGGGAGGCAGCAGUGGGGAAUUUUGGACAAUGGGCGAAAGCCUGAUCCAGCCAUUCCGCGUGCAGGAUGAAGGCCCUCGGGUUGUAAACUGCUUUUGUACGGAACGAAACGCGUUGAGCUAAUACCUCGGCGUAAUGACGGUACGUAAGAAUAAGCACCGGCUAACUACGU